UACUCGCGGUUAUUAUAGUUCAAAGGAGAGGAGAGGAAAGGAGAGGUCCCCCUGAGGUCGGCCGAGCGGGCGGAGCGCCUUCAAUGCGUCAGUGGACACGGACGAGAGGCGGCGGCGGCGGCGGCGCGUGGACUUCAUGGUUCAUGCUGGACAUCAGCAGGAGCACCCGCCGGAAGAGGCGCUGAGGCGGUGCUGCAGCACUCGCCGGCUCUCGACAAGAAGUAGGGACCCUGGCGCGUUUGGUGCAAGGGAGAAAUUCGUCAUCCGAGUCUACUGAAUUUGUGUCCAUAUUUUUCAGUUUUUGGUGCAGCUGUCCAAAUUUCAAUUGAAAUAUAAGCUUUUGUUUGUUGCUUUCUCGACAGAACAACUGUGUUUUUAACUUUUAGCUGCUGAAUUAUGCUCUAGGUAUUACCAUCAGCAACCGGCAGCCCCUAUGACGCCUUUCCAGGCACAAAGUUUCAUUUCAGAUUUACACCUCCCGUCACGUUGAGCGACCAUGCGCAAGCAUUCCUUGAUGUCUGCUGAUUCCUCUAUGCCACCUGAUGACAACACUCAUGCUGCUGGUGAUUGUUCCUCAUUUGUCGGACCAGUGGUUACUGCCAUCGAGCCGCAUCACAACCUUUGUGCUACAAUUCUUAAGGAUAGAUAAACUCUGGACUCCAGAGUAUGUUCUGUUGUUUCAUUGGACCCCAUCUUUGCUCGAUGUGAGUUGUGCUUGGCUACUUGCUACAGCAUCUGUGACACUAUGAGCUGAACUUCUUUGCCAUUGAUCAUGAAAAAAGACUUCAGGCCUUCGAAAAUGACUAUACUGCGAAUGCAAUUGCUGUUUCAGGUUAGUUUUUGACUUUUUCGUUGUUUUACACUGUUCAACACCGGGUGUCCUCUUAAUAGACUACAAUUUGAGUCGCCAUGCUUAUGGAAGUGGUAUUUCAAGAUAUAUUUGGAUACUCACAAAAACAUAUUUCAUCUCCAACCAACAUCCCUAUUUUCUGACAAGCGUAAGAACCGGAAAAAAAACAUCAACUUUUCAAUUUCUUGAAACUCAUCCACAAUAUUAUGUCCAUGGUAAAUUCAAUUGCUUUAUGUUCUACUUCAAGGUUCUAUU